UACGUAGGGGGCAAGCGUUGUCCGGAUUUAUUGGGCGUAAAGAGCUCGUAGGCGGCCGGUUGCGUCUGCUGUGAAAUCCCGGGGCUUAACCCCGGGCGUGCAGUGGAUACGGGCUGGCUGGAGGCAGGCAGGGGAGAAUGGAAUUCCCGGUGUAGCGGUGAAAUGCGCAGAUAUCGGGAGGAACACCGGUGGCGAAGGCGGUUCUCUGGGCCUGUGCUGACGCUGAGGAGCGAAAGCGUGGGGAGCGAACAGG
rnacentral:rRNA from 1 species